rnacentral:rRNA from 1 species
GCCUAAAGCGUCCGUAGCCUGUUCUAUAAGUUUCCGGUUAAAUCCACUAGCUCAACUAGUGGGCUGCCGAAAAUACUGUAGAACUAGGGAGUGGGAGAGGUAGACGGUAUUCGGUAGGAAGGGGUAAAAUCCUUUGAUCUAUUGAGGACCACCUGUGGCGAAGGCGGUCUACCAGAACACGUUCGACGGUGAGGGAUGAAAGCUGGGGGAGCAAACCGGAUUAGAUACCCGGGUAGUCCCAGCUGUAAACGAUGCAGACUCGGUGAUGCCCUGGCUUGUGGCCAGUGCAGUGCCGCAGGGAAGCCGUUAAGUUUGCCGCCUGGGAAGUACGUACGCAAGUAUGAAACUUAAAGGAAUUGGCGGGGGAGCACCACAAGGGGUGAAGCCUGCGGUUCAAUUGGAGUCAACGCCAGAAAUCUUACCCGAAGAGACAGCAGAAUGAAGGUCAAGCUGGAGACUUUACCAGACAAGCUGAGAAGUGGUGCAUGGCCGUCGCCAGCUCGUGCCGUGAGAUGUCCUGUUAAGUCAGGUAACGAGCGAGAUCCCUGCCUCUAGUUGCCACCAUUACUCUCAGGAGUAGUGGGGCGAAUUAGCGGGACCGCCGCAGUUAAUGCGGAGGAAGGAAGGGGCCACGGCAGGUCAGUAUGCCCCGAA